UAUUAUCCCCAGUGUAUACAUAUACUUUAAACAUAACUCUAUUUUUUUUAAAUGAUGGUAUUCUGGUUGGUUUAAACAUACGUCGGUACUCAUCCAUUUAAUAUAUGAUCCUUCUUACACGUACACAUGUGGGUAACGUUUUCCUGUAAUAUUUAGGCAUAUAGAAAAAAUUCAAUAAAUAUUGCCGUUGCUACAAAUUCCAAUUUUGCUAACUCAACCCCAAAAACUAGCUUAUAAGGUGAGGAUUGCCCAAGCCGUAUAAGGAGACCAAGGACCUCAAAUCACUCCGAUGUGGGACAACUCAACACCCCCCUCACGCCCUGAUCUCUGGAGCGUGGACAAACAUAAAUGGGGGCCCAACAUCGGUAACAAUAAUUGGGAUGGGCGUGGCUCUGAUACCAUGAUAAGAAUGGACAUUGUGCCUAACUCAUCCCCAAAAGCUAGCUUAUGAGGUGAGGAUUGCCCAAGCCAUAUAAGGAGACCAAGGACCUCAAAUCCCUCCAAUGUGGGACAACUCAAUAAAUUGUCAUUCGAUUCUUUUGCGGAAGCAUUCUGCGGCGAGUAGUACUGGCAGCAUAGCCAUCUUAAUUGGCUUCUUCUCGGAGACCAAGGAGCUCAAAUCCCUCCAAUGUGGGACAACUCAACAAAGAGAGGGGCCAUUCUUCUUUCAUGGAGACAAAAGUAGUCUCUUUUACU
rnacentral:lncRNA from 1 species